UACGUAGGGUGCGAGCGUUGUCCGGAAUUAUUGGGCGUAAAGGGUGCGUAGGCGGCGCGGUAAGUCGGGUGUGAAAUCUCGGGGCUUAACUCCGAAACUGCAUUCGAUACUGCCGUGCUUGAGGACUGGAGAGGAGACUGGAAUUUACGGUGUAGCGGUGAAAUGCGUAGAUAUCGUAAGGAACACCAGUGGCGAAAGCGGCUUCCUGGUCCAGCACCGACGUUCAGGCACGAAAGCGUGGGGAGCAAACAGG
rnacentral:rRNA from 1 species